UACGGAGGGGGCAAGCGUUAUUCGGAAUUAUUGGGCGUAAAGAGCGUGUAGGCGGCCAGAUAGGUCUGCUGUGAAAACUCGAGGCUCAACCUCGAGAUGUCGGCGGAAACCAUUUGGCUAGAGUCCGGAAGAGGAAAGUGGAAUUCCUGGUGUAGCGGUGAAAUGCGCAGAUAUCAGGAAGAACACCCGUGGCGAAGGCGGCUUUCUGGGACGGUACUGACGCUGAGACGCGAAAGCGUGGGGAGCGAACAGG
rnacentral:rRNA from 1 species